rnacentral:rRNA from 1 species
GCAUAUCAAUAAGCGGAGGAAAAGAAACUAACAAGGAUUCCCCUAGUAACGGCGAGUGAAGCGGGAUGAGCUCAAAUUUGUAAUCUGGUGGACUCAGUUCAUCCGAGUUGUAAUCUAUAGAAAAGUUUUCCGCGCCGGACCGUGUCUAAGUCCCUUGGAACAGGGUGUCAGAGAGGGUGAGAAUCCCGUGCUUGAUACGACCACCGGUGCUAUGUGAUACUUUUUCAACGAGUCGAGUUGUUUGGGAAUGCAGCUCAAAAUGGGUGGUAAAUUCCAUCUAAAGCUAAAUAUUGGCGAGAGACCGAUAGCGAACAAGUACCGUGAGGGAAAGAUGAAAAGCACUUUGGAAAGAGAGUUAAACAGUACGUGAAAUUGUUAAAAGGGAAACGAUUGAAGUCAGUCGUGCUCUCUGGGACUCAGCCGGUUCUUCCGGUGUAUUUCCCAGUGAGCGGGUCAACAUCAGUUUAGAUCGCUGGAUAAGGUCAUUAGGAAUGUGGCUCCCUCGGGAGUGUUAUAGCCUAGUGUCGCAUACAGUGGUUUAGACUGAGGAACGCAGCUCGCCUUUAUGGCCGGGGUUCGCCCACGUCCGAGCUUAGGAUGUUGACAUAAUGGCUUUAAACGACCCGUCUUGAAACACGGACCAAGGAGUCUAACAUA